rnacentral:rRNA from 1 species
GAGUUUGAUCGUGGCUCAGGACGAACGCUGGCGGCGUGCCUAAUACAUGCAAGUCGAGCGGACUUUCAAGAAGCUUGCUUUUUGAAAGUUAGCGGCGGACGGGUGAGUAACACGUGGGCAACCUGCCUGCAAGACGGGGAUAACUCCGGGAAACCGGGGCUAAUACCGGAUAAUAUCUUUCUUCGCAUGAAGGAAGGUUGAAAGGCGGCGCAAGCUGCCGCUUGCAGAUGGGCCCGCGGCGCAUUAGCUAGUUGGUGAGGUAACGGCUCACCAAGGCGACGAUGCGUAGCCGACCUGAGAGGGUGAUCGGCCACACUGGGACUGAGACACGGCCCAGACUCCUACGGGAGGCAGCAGUAGGGAAUCUUCCGCAAUGGACGAAAGUCUGACGGAGCAACGCCGCGUGAGCGAAGAAGGCUUCGGAUCGUAAAGCUCUGUUGUCAGGGAAGAACAAGUAUCGUUCGAAUAGGGCGGUACCUUGACGGUACCUGACCAGAAAGCC